AAACUUUUCUCUUAUCUCACACAACGCCUCCUCCUUCCUUCCACGGUACGAUUCAUUAUUUUCUCCUACACAAUGCCUUUUUCUUCCAUAGUAAGAUUCACAAACCCUAAUUCUCAUCUAAACUCUUCAACCGCUUCUCUCUGUUUUGAUAUCUAACAUGUCUAAACUCUUCAGCCACCUCUCUCAGUUUUGAUAUCUAACAUGUCUGCUCUGUUUCAUCCACGUUUUCUAUGUCCUUAUCCUCUUUCAGUUUGGGUUUCUAUUUACCCCCUUCAUAUUAUUUAAUUGAAGAACAAUUAUUGGGUCUCUAUUGUCCUAAUUCGCUUCUUCUAAUCGAGAUCUAUUUAUCAGAAGUUACACAAUACUAAUGGGAUUCUAAUCCUCUUUGAUCGAUUUGUGUAUUAAACGAUUAGUAAGAUAGGACGACUCCUCAAUUGUGUUUUUAUGCUCUCAAUGUUCUUGAUAAAGAGACGCAGAGGUUGAAGACCAUUAAGAUUGAAGCCAAUACGGUAUCAUCUUUUAUCCUCAUUUCCAUAUUUCAUACAGAAUGCUAAAUGUGAUUGUGAAAGGUGUUCAUGUGAUAUGAUUGAAGAUUAAUAUGCUAAUUAUUGAUUGAUUGAUUAAGUUUUUGAUUCUUCUAAUGUUCUUUGUAUUUUCUAUUCACAUUCAGUAGAACAUCUUUCUUUAAUAAAAAUCCAUCUGCUGAAAUUUGUAAUUCAUGCCCGCCAACUGUUUGUGUAAAUGUCCCAUUAACUAAUUUUUCAUAUUUCCAACAUUUUGAAAUGCAUGGUCUCAAGAUGAGUUAUGUUCUUUUGAAAAACAAAUCUUGCUUUGUGUUCUUUGGUAAUCACAUUUCCCUGGUGCUUAGGUAAUCACUAAAUCCCUCUAAUACACUUAUUCGAUAAACAAGUCUUGCUUUGUUAUAGCAAAUUGCAGUUAUGUGUUGUAUAGUAAAUAGACCAGAAGAGAUGGCUAUUGUUGUUUUUGCAUAUGUCGGUGAUGCACCUUGAAAGAUAGAGCUUUAUGUUGGAAAGGUACCUAUUAAAGUCAUUCGUUGCCCACUUAUAGAUGAAGUUCAUCAGGAAUUCAACCCGUGGAUCUACCAGGUGACAAGACUUUACAAAGACAAAGAACAUGCUGAAUUCGAUUUCACUGUACGAAUAUCCUUCUGUUUUAUGGAAAACUCAGCGGGUUAGGUAACAGAUCAGAACGGGUCACCUUUUUACGGGCCAGACUGCAUUGGCUUGCUCUAUAGCACUUUUUCUUCUUAACAUUUUUCAAUAAAUAGUUAGUCUGUCAAAUAUGAUUACAAAAAUUAUAUCGUCAUAAUAGUAAUCUAAUUAUUUUAAUUAAAAUGAUUUCAGAAAUUUUAAUAAAUGCACUUUGGACGAAUUUCGACCAAUUAAACCGAUUCCUUAUAAGAUAACUUUUGUUUAUAGUUUUACCUUUAUUACCCAUUAGAGAUCAAAAUAUAACCCAAAUCAACCCGUUCAUAAGUAAACGGGUAUAAGUUGCCACAUCAAGCUAAUAGUGAUCACUGACAAUUCUGGUUUUAUUAAGUAAACUUUUGUAAGAUCGGCGAAAUACCAACGGAUGACAGUGUUGGAAAAGAAGUGAGUACAAGAAUUACAGCGAACAUGGUCACCAACAAGGUGUUCUAUACCGAUUCUAACGAAAGGAACUUUCUCAAAAGGGUACGUGAUUAUAGAGAAGACUGGCCUCUUCAAGUUACACAACCGGUAGCUGGGAAUUAUUAUCUGGUAACUCUCUAGAGACUAGACCUUUAGUUUAUGUCUUCAUAUGAGCUUUAGUUUAUGUCUUCACUAAGUUUUUUUUAUCUAAAAAGUGUUCUUUAUCAGCAUCCAUGAGUCAGAAGGAUCUGCAAUAGCGUGCUAAGAUCAAGAAACUGUUGAAAGAGGCAACUGCACUAUUUGGACUCGCGCGUUUAUUCUUCAUAUUUUUCAUUUGAACAUGCUGGCAAAAUAAUUUUUUUUAUUAUUGAGCCAUGACAAUGUAUCCUAAAUAAUAAUUUUUCAUAUUCUCAAU